rnacentral:misc_RNA from 1 species
GCUUGACUGGAAUCUGUAGCAGCAGUAGUAACUCAAGCAGCAACAGCACUUUUGCAAGCUUGUUUGCUUCAUCAACAGCUUCAGGAAGUUUGCCGUCUCAAGCACCUCAAUUUACUGAUUGGUUUCAGUCCGUGGCUCCUUCACCACCACCUGAUAUAGAACCACCAUCAUCUAUGGAACCAAUAUCUCUCUGCCUUGCAAUGAAUCAUGGUUCAUCAGUCUUUGGAUCAACCGGGCAAGAAAGAAUGCAGUAUGCUGCAGCACCACAACCAUCCAUGUCUGCAACAGCAUUACUGCAGAAGGCUGCUCAGAUGGGUGCAACAGCGACAAACUCAUCAUUGUUGAGGGGUCUUGGGAUUUUAUCUUCUUCUUCAUCGUCUAGUGGGCAACACGAAUGGAAUGGGAGACAAAUUGACACUGAUGGUGCAACGUUGGCUGCAGGCCUUGGCCUUGGAUUGCCAUGUGACGAUGGCUCUGGUCUAAAGGAACUAAUGCUGGGAACUCCCUCUGUUUUCG